ensembl:lncRNA
UGGAAGGAUCUGUGAACCAUAGAGAAAGAGACGAUAUAUAUUGGCUGGAUUUACCGUGUAUGAGCUGGACUGUUUGGACUUACCUGUUGGCAUUUGGACCUGGACCUACCAAGAACCCAAUUCCUGUACCGAACCCUGCUAUCUUUGACCUUGCCUGCGGCCUGGGUGGACCAGGAUAUAGAAACAAACACACAGGAUCAACGGUUUUCCACCAUUUUGAAAAACACCCAUCCCUGUCUUCUCCACAUUGGCCCCAUCCUUCCACGAUUGUACUGAAAGAUAGGAACAAUUCAGUGUCCAGAAUUGGAAUGCAGUCUGGACACAGGAGCGUGAGCCCUUGCAGAAAGACUGAAUGUCACUAAAAGGACUUACAAACAAAGCAAGAAGAUGGCCUCAUCAGCAGAGGAUGAUCCCAUUAACCCUUAAGCAAGAGGUACAGGAACCAACUGGUUGCUGUAGAUUAUUAUAUACCUGCCAUAGAUGGUGGUUUGUUAUCCAUGGUGCUGUGGAUGCUUACAGCAGGCUUGUGUUUCUAAAGGCCCCUGGCAACAGGAGUGCCACAGUCAUGGAGUCAUUUGAAGCAGCCAUCACCAGCUAUGGAGUACUAUCCCGGGUGAGAUGUCAAACAAACCACCCGGGGUGGUGCAAACAACCACAUCUGUGCCUUCAUGGAGCAGUUCAGGGAUGGUGAGAGGGGAAGUGCCCUCAGGAAGGAGCACUCGCAACCAGAGGAUAGAGCUGCUGUGGGGGGACGUCUGGCAUGGAGUCUCCAACGUUUACAAUUCUUGGAGUUCACCUUCUUGGAGACGGAGCAGAUCAUCGACAUCAACAAUGAGGUGCACCUGUGGGCACUGCACUUUGUAUUCCUGUCACAGGCGUAAAGAGAUCUGCCGUGCCAGUCAGUGGAACCACCAUGGGCUGAGGACUGAACAACGGCAGUCAGCUCUGCAGUUGUUCAUAUCGGGUUCCCUGGCAAUUUUGAGCGCCUAUCUGACCCUCG